CUACGGGGCGCUGCAGUCGAGGAAAUUUUACAAUGCUCGAAAGAGUGAUAGAAUGAGUCAGAGUGUUUCUCUUAGAGAAACUUUUUUCUGUUGUAAAAAGACAGAAGAAUAAGGACUGGGAAAGACCGGUGCCAGCCGCCGCGGUAAUACCGGCGGUCCAAGUCGCAUCCACAUUUAUUGGGUCUAAAACAUCCGUAGCUUGUUUUAUAAGUCUCUUGUGAAAUUCUACAUCUCAAGUGUAGAGCGUGCAAGAGAUACUAUAUUACUAGAGACCGGAAGGCGUAAAGAGUAUGGUUGAGGUAGCGGUAAAAUGUGUUAAUCUCAAUUAGACUAACAAUUAGCGAAGGCACUUUACGAGUACGGAUCUGACAGUGAGGGAUGAAGGCUAGGGGCGCAAAAGGGAUUAGAUACCCCAGUAGUC
rnacentral:rRNA from 1 species